CUUUCUCCAGGAUUCUCCCUCGGAAUCGGCUGUUGGAGACAGCAUAUCACGGGCACCAAGUGAUUUUCGGCAUGUUUGUCUUCUUUCUCGGCAGUGGCUGUGGGCAGGGCCCAGGUGCAGCAGGAGCCGUCGGCAGAGGCCACCGAGGGCACUGGCAUUAACAUCACCUGCUCACACCCCAGCAUACAGACCGGCGACUUCAUCCACUGGUACUGGCAGCUCCCAGGACGAGGUCCCGCGUUCAUCACGAGUGCUCACAAAGGGUCCAAAGAGGUGCAGGACCCGCCGGGGACCCUGUUCGUGGCCGAAGACCGCCGCUCCAGCGUCCUGCAUCUCGCCCGGCCCCGCUGGCGGGACGCGGCGGUGUAUUACUGCGCCGUGGGAGACCCGGCGGCACAGGCUGGGGCUGCGGCCGGGCACGAACUGCCGCGGGCGGGGCGGGGUGGGGCGGUGGCGGGGGCUGGGGAUGCGCCUCGCGCUGGCCCACUGGGGGCGCUGCCGCUCCGCCUGUCGCGGCCGCCUCUCCCCGCACCGCGCUGCGCCGGGCCUGCCCGUCGGCGGGUGCCGCUUCGGCGGGUCCUGCUGCGCCGGAGCCUCGGCGGCGGGACGGCCCCCCGAAAUGGUUCCCAAGCUGCCGAGUGGGCCAGCAGCUCCUCCCACCCCUCGCCCCCUCCCCCGCCCCACUGCUGCCCCCGCUCCUCUAAACCGCAACGAGGACAGACAUUCCCUGUGCAGCGGUGGGUCAGCGACCUGAGUGCUGGUGGUGCUAGUGGUGCCCGGAGAAGGGGCAGUUGCAGUGUAGAGAGGCAUCGUUUAUAAGAGAGAGGGUUAUAGUGGGGUGUCCUCUUCCUACUGGAUUCCGGGAGUGUGUUCUACCGGAUUCAGGGUGUGUGCCUGUCCCUGCAUGGGUGAUUGCUGCAGCAAGUGCUCUUUUCGAAGGUGUCUUUCCUGGGGAGCCCCCUCUGUGGCCGAGAGAGAAGGAAGAAAAAAACGCUGUGGUGUGGGUACGGAGUGUCAGACACCUGGAGAGAGGCACUUUUACUUGUGCAUGGUUCUAUCUCCAUCCAGACUGUCCCUGGGACAGGGUGGACGUGGGUGCAUGCCUGGGUUCCUUUUCCAUCCUUUCCAGAAUUGGCUGGAGGUCCUUCUGUCUGCCUGGGUGCUGGAUGGCAGGAGGAGAUCAUCAGGGCUGUUUGUCCCUUGCUGCAGGAUGGUUGGGCAGGUAGCGAUCUUCAGGAGGGCCAAAAUAGAAGGAAGGUGCCAGUAGCCUCCUUUGUGUCCCUUUUGCUUGACCUCAGCCUGCCUUAACUGUCCAUUAGGUUCCUAGAGCCCCUUGGGCAAUGCAGCCUGGGCUUCAGAGGAAGCAAAUGCCGCCCACCCAUGGCUUGACUGUGCAAGUACAAAACUUCCCAAGCUGAACAAAACCCAUGGCCCUGGAUUUGAGGAGCCUGGAUCCCAGCAAGGAUCCCUGCAGUUUGUCUGCUUUGCUGAGUGCUCUCAGCACUAGCCCACCAUCUGUCUAGAGAGACUUCUGGCAGUAGAGGUGUGGGUCUCAAGGAGGUCUGUCUGAAGCAGCAGUGUGGGAGCUUUGCUCCACCUUCUGUGCUGAGGUUUGGAGGCUGCUUUGAGGUGGCAGAGGGAGGAGAAGGCAGGCACCUGCAAGCUUCAGCUUGCUCAUUCUGGAAGGCCCCUGGUCAGCCCGUGAAGAGGAGAGCUUGACAUGGCCCUGAUUUUCCUGGCAGCCGUGGCAGGACUGGCAGACUUUGGUGAGACAUGACUUGCAGGCUGAGGAGGAACAGGGCAAGAGUUUGUGCUGUCAGUGGUGGAGGGGAGAGCUGUGAGUCCUGACCCUGCAGGUAACUGGCAGUGUUUCUGUAGGGAGGCAGGGGCUGCAGAUGGGGCAUCACAUAUAACCUGAGGUCUGUCGCGUGUCAUGGGCAUCAAAGGAGGAAUAGAUGAAACCUUAAUUUUGCAGAAACUAACAUUCUUGCAUACACUGCUGAUAGAGAGAGAUGCUAGCUAAGAGCCGAGUACUGCAUAUAGGGCCUUUUCUCCGAGACAUAUUGGGUAAAAUGCUGCAAAUCUGUGUGGGGUUGGAUGUAAUGCUUGAAGGACAUAGAGAGAAGGCUAACUCAAGGCAAGAGCUCAAAUGCUGUACAAGGACAGGUCAAGGGCAGAUUAUGUGGUGUGUAGUUUGGCGAGAAGGUUACAGUAAGAAGUUACCAUCAGAGGUAGGGGAGGAAUAGUGCAUGUGUUGUCUUGCUGAAGGAGAGACCAACAGUUACUAUAGCUCAGGGACUGAUAGGAAAACAACUGAUGGACUCCAAGCCCAUGACCCCCCCUCACAGCUGAGGUGUGAGGAGUGACAAGAACCUGCAAGCUGAAGCAUGCAUGGAGAAACAGCUCAGCAUUUUGCACCAUAGGAGAAGUUAGAUGGAGAAUGGGCGUAGCAAGAGGGCUGAUGAAGUGGUCAAUAGAUGGAUACAUAGAUGAACAAAGUUAAAACGCUUUCCUGGCUUUACAGGUCACGCACAAAAGGAUGCUGUGCUCUAGUUCCCACCAGAAACGACCAUCCAGGCAGGAUACAGUGCAACUUUGCAGUGCAAUUUCUCCACCAGUGACCCUUAUGCCUACAUUUUCUGGUACCGGCAGUUCCUGACCCGGUCGCCUGAGAUGCUGCUGUGUGUGGACAGAUCCAGACCUUGUGUGGAUUCAGGGAGGUUCUGCUGUGUGCUGUGUGCUGAGAGCUCCCAGGUGCUUCUCCCAGGUGCAGGAUGCUGAGCUCCAGGACAAUGCUGUCUAUCUCUGUGCUCUAAGCCCACACCAGUGCGUACAUCAUGCAGCAUUGCACAGAAAGGCUUGUGGUCUGCUUUGGGGAGGUCACCCCAUUUCUGGGAACUAGUUUGUCCCUCUGCAUGUAGUGCUUUUUGCAUGCCAGGUCUGACUGGUGGAGCAAAGAGCUGGCCCUGGAGAGCAGGUGUGACUGCUGCUGGCAAAUCAGCCAUGGUGGCUGCAGAGAAGCAUUAGGUGGUGUUUCCUCCCUGAGGGAGGAAAUGUGCUGGUGUUUGCUCCUAGUGCAGGGCACUGCUCCUUGUCCCCGGCAUGGGGGAGACAGCUGGGGAGCCACCUUCACUUUCAAGCUCUGCUUCUCCUGGUAUUGGAGCCCAGUUCCUCUGUGGGGCUGCAGUUUACCCCCCCUGCCCAGGAUACACCCAGACUCCCAGGGCUAGGUCAGAGCAGGGCUCCCCACUCAGCCUGCUAGAGAUUUUGUGGAGAGAUGAUAUUCCCAGGCACUGGAGGAAGGAAGAGGGAGAAGUGGUAGCAGUAGCGGGGACACCUGUGCAUAGAGGAAAUACCACCAUCCAACGAGAAGCAGGGACUGCAGAGGAAGGUGUGAAAUCCCAGUGAGGCAAGCACGCUGCACUCACAAAAGGCCCAGCAGAGGUGCGCAGAAGAGCAGGCAUGUCUAGCUGGGGAGGCAAAGACACUGGUGGAGGAGAGAAAACCACAGCAGGGGCAUUUCAGGCAUGGUGAGAGAAAAUGUGCUUCCUUCCUUGUUCCCUUGGUGGUGUCAUUUCCAGCAGCUCCGCUCCCUCAAGGCUGGGAGGUGGUUUUUGACUCUCUCUUUCACACACAACCCCUGCGGUUGGGCUCAGCAUGCACCUUGAGUAUCUCGUCCUCGCUGCCUUCCUGUGGCAACCACUGGGUGCCAUGGGCCAGACCAGUGUCACCCAGCAAGAGGGACCAGUCCCAGUGGAGGAGAGGGGCACCUUCCACACCACCUGCACAUACCAGACCUCGAACUUUUAUGGCUUGUCUUGGUACCAGCAGAAGGAAGACCGAGCCCUGCAAGCUGGUCUCAUCUCAGGCGGCAGCUGGCCUCAAGCAGAGUGGCUGAUUCACCACAGUGCUGAACACCACUGGGUUCUGGAGGCCAAAGCCAGGAGUGAGGGAUCAUCUAAGCUCUGACUGUGGAAUACUACCUGCCAUUGGUGGCUUCUGUAGGGGCUGAAAAGCCUCUUCCUUGUGGCAGUGCUUGUAGGUCUGUGAGGGACAAAUGCUGGGAAAGCAGAGGUGAUUUCAGCCUGUGGAGAUCAGGAACAUGUCUGUGUACUCGUCA